AGGUUACUGCUAUCGGUGUUCGCCUAAGCCAUGCGAGUCAUAUGUUCUUCGUGAACAUGGCGUACUGCUCAGUAACACGUGGAUAACCUGCCCUUGGGUCCGGCAUAACCCCGGGAAACUGGGAAUAAUUCCGGAUAACGCACAUAUGCUGGAAUGCUUUAUGCGUCAAAUGGAUUCGUCCGCCCAAGGAUGGGUCUGCGGCCUAUCAGGUAGUAGUGGGUGUAAUGUACCUACUAGCCUACUACGGGUACGGGUUGUGAGAACAAGAGCCCGGAGAUGGAUUCUGAGACAUGAAUCCAGGCCCUACGGGGCGCAGCAGGCGCGAAAACUUUACAAUGCGGGAAACCGUGAUAAGGGGACACCGAGUGCCAGCAUCAUAUGCUGGCUGUCCGGGUGUGUAAAAUACACCUGUUAGCAAGGGCCGGGCAAGACCGGUGCCAGCCGCCGCGGUAACACCGGCGGCCCGAGUGGGAUCGUGAUUAUUGGGUCUAAAGGGUCCGUAGCCGGUUUGGUCAGUCCUCCGGGAAAUCUGACGGCUUAACCGUUAGGCUUUCGGGGGAUACUGCCAGACUUGGAACCGGGAGAGGUAAGAGGUACUACAGGGGUAGGAGUGAAAUCUUGUAAUCCCUGUGGGACCACCUGUGGCGAAGGCGUCUUACCAGAACGGGUUCGACGGUGAGGGACGAAAGCUGGGGGCACGAACCGGACUAGAUACCCGGGUAGUCCCAGCCGUAAACGAUGCUCGCUAGGUGUCAGGCAUGGCGCGACCGUGUCUGGUGCCGCAGGGAAGCCGUGAAGCGAGCCACCUGGGAAGUACGGCCGCAAGGCUGAAACUUAA
rnacentral:rRNA from 1 species